GCUGAAAUAGCAAAGUGGUUAAUGCAUGAGACUUAGGAUCUCCUAUCGAAGGUUCAAAUCCCUCUUUCAGCU
rnacentral:tRNA from 1 species